GUGGGAGAUGGAGGUUUGUGCGGUGGCUUGUGGGGCGGAGUUGAUGGCUUCUUUCCAGGAGCUUCUGGCUUUUUCAUCGGAGCUGAAGGAGGCUCAAUCUUAUGAGGCGGCUUGUAUGAGUCUUCUUUACUCUCGACAGGAGGGUGGCCAGGGUUGUGAUCAUAAUGUGGUGGCUUCUCUCCCUUAGGUGGCUUGCCAACUGGGGUUGGUGGCUUGUGUUCAGGAAGUGGUUUCUCUCCCAUGGGAGGUUUAGCAAUUGGGGUUGGUGGCUUGUGUUCUGGGAGUGGCUUCUCUCCCUUGGGAGGUUUAGUAGGUGACUUGUGUUCUGGAGGUGGCUUCUCCACCGGAGGCUUGUGCUCCGGUGGUGGCUUCUUGGUUGGAGGGGGCUUGGGGUAAUCAGCAAGAGAUGGGGUGGUGAGAACCACCAGUCCAAGGAACAACACUAGCAAGUAUGUGGGAGACAUUUUUGAGUUUGGGCUGAUCAGAUGAUGCAAAACUAAAGCAUUACGUGACCUUUUAUAGCAUGUAGCUCCCAAUACCCACUAAGUAUUGUGGGGUCCAUUUGUGCCCUACGGGGUUGAAAACUUAGACAAUUGGGCAAGGACCCACCUGACUAUGGAGGACUAGUGAGGUGUGAUCAUAGCUUUAGGAUUUUUCUUCCUCUGCAGCCGUCGUGCCGUUGGCAUGAUUUUCUUAAUCUUAAAUAAAGGCAUAGUUAUAGAGUUGUUUAAUCUCUAAAUGGGAUUUUAUAUAUAUCUUCAGAUAGCCAUUAAUAUAUUUGAUGAAGAAAGAAAGACAAGUGCAUACAACAUGUAUACGACUAGCUUUCAUGGAGUUCAUUUAUGAUCAGUUUUCCUGUACAUGUAAACCAGGAUCAUAUAUAUGUUUCUGUUCCACAACUAUUUUGGAAUCUUGUUUAUCAGUUUUUAUCAUUAUAAUGUCACAUAGGCUGCCAACUUGGGCGCUAAAAGAACCAGUUGGGCUAGUUCGUUUCAGAAUUUCAAUGUGGAUUCAGGAAUUGUUUUGUAAGAUAUGCGAAAUAGUAGAGGGAUGAAUAGUGUUUCAUUAAUAAAAGUGUCCUGUAAAUUAGAAGGUGUCAUAGAAACUAUAAUCAAUAAAUAACUUUUUUUCCCCACGGGUGGUGUUUCUUGUGGGGAUCAGUGACUGGUUUAGGUUCACCCAAAAUGAGUUCAGACUAAAAUUGGUUUGAGUCAAUGCCGUGUCUCUUUUUUCCAGAAAUCAACUAUUUUAUGCAUUGAAUAAAUCAUACAAAGAAAAUAUGAACGCCCGCAAAACCUAAACCCUGGUUGCUAACUUUCUAUGUUUCAGUUCUAUUCACGCAAGAAUAUUAGUUUAAGUUUGGGAAAAAUGGCAACUUACCUAGUGAUUACUUGGUUUUGGUUUGCGACUAUUUACGCAACCAACCAUGAGUUUGACUUUAACGUCAUGGGUUGAAGCCUCCUACAGGAAGGGAGAAAGCUCCACAGCUAGCUCCAAAAGAGAAUUAUCACAUUGAUAGCUCCAGAGAUUCCCAAGGGGACUGAAUCAAAGACAAGUUCCUCACUUUUUCUUCUUUUGAGGCCAAAUAUGAACCAAGGAUCACACAACCUCAUUCAACUUCAUAAGUUUGAUUUCAUGCAGUUGAACACUGGGUGAAGGCCAUGACAAGAAUUGAUUCAAAAAUUCUAUCACUCUUUUAAGUAAUGGAAGAUUAUUAUCUCUGAUUGGCAUCACAACAGCACAUGCUCCUAGAUCUUUCUAGACACUCCAUGCAAUGAAAGCACAAUGGAUCUUGUAACGAUAGAAACUAAGCCAUGCUACAGUACUAGAUGAUGAGGUAAAACUAGUAGACACGGGUGGCAGCCUAUAUGGGAGGGACACAAGUCUAAUUGAUUUGCAUUUCAGCAUUAUAGAUAGGUAUGUUUUGGAAGAUUUGUUCUGGAAAUACCGCACCAAGUAGGAUUCUUUUUCUCUUUAGUGGGUCCACUUGCAUGCCAAUUAACGAGUUGAAAAGUAUGAGCACCUACCUCGUGCUCGUGGAACCGAAGGUCAGUGAAGUGGGGCUCCUUUUGGCCUCGUGUAAACUUGAUUCAGAAGUGAAGUUAAUAGUCUUCCAUUCAGAUGGAUACAUGGGAAUUUUUCUCUUUUAUUUAUUUAUUUAUUUUUUUUUUGUGUGUGUAUGUCAAAGGAUAAUGAAUGAAGCGCGUUAGCUUGUUUUCUGACUGGAACCGCAGAUGUCCAAAUUGGAGUUCCUUCAUUUCUUACUUAGGAUUGUUACAUGUAUAAACAAGGUAUAAGAAAUAUGCCAACGUGUCUUGAGGAGUUAUUGAUUAGAAAUAACAAGUCACCCGACUGUAGAGUUCCAAGAUUUGAAUCUUCAGACCCUAUAGCAGCCUCUGGGGUACGUGGCAUCCUAUAGCAUAUUAAUGAAGGCUUUUUCGAUUUAGACUUCACAAUACCAAUUAAUAUGUAUGCACAAAAUGGAGAUGACCCCAAAAAAAACAGAAUCGCCAUAGUUUAUGAGGUUAAGGUGAUUCUCCACUUAAUAUCUACAUUAGCUAAUUAUGUAAAUCAAAUGAACUUCUAUUUUUCCUUUUUUUUUUUGGUUUAUGUCAAAUAGUAGCCCAUAAUUAACCCAACCAUUAGCCUGUUUGAAUUGAUUUCACAUGCACAAUGUUGUAGUAGUUCAUAUUUUGAAUUUUAUUUUUACAAAGGUAGUUAAGGAAAAUGAAGUAUAAUAAUUAUAAAAGCAGACUAUAUACACUACAAUAAUUGUUAGAAUGGUAUCUCAAAUUCUAAUUUAAAAUAUUAUUUUUUGUAAAAGAAAUAUUAUAUAGAAUAUUUCCUAAUUUUAUAAAUGAUUAUAAUUAGAUCUUUAUAAAAUAAGGAAAGUUGGUAAGAAUAUCUUUAUAAAUAUUUUAGGUCAUGAGAGAAAGAAAUGGGAUAAAAAUGUGAUGAAGAGGUGAAAUAAGAGAGUUGAUUAGGAUAUAGAUGUGAAGAAGAAAGGGAUUCAAUAUAUAUAUAUCUUUCAAUUACCACAUUAAAACCCUGUGAACCUUUUAUAUGGUUUACUUUAUUUUUAUAUUCCUCCUUUAAUAUAUUUACAUUAAUGCUUCCAUUGGCACAACAAUAACGAAUUACAAAUACAAGCAACAAGUCCCAUGUUUUAUUACCAAAAGCAGGUAAAAUCCACCUAAUAUAUUACAAUAUAUUCAUCCAAUAUUUUAGACCAAUUCUUCACCAUAAAUAUCAUAAUGUGGCUUUUGUUCUUUCUUAAAUUUAAAUUGAAUUGUCUUAUAUCAAUUUGUUUGUGAUUUUUUCAUUAACUUCACUUUCAUUUGGUUAUCUUUGGUUUUUGAAAAGUAUUAAGGAAUUAAUUAACAAAAUAAUGUUAAGAAAAAUAAUUUUCUCUCUUUUGAUUUUGAUUUUGUAGUAGAAAAAUAUAAUUAAAAUUAUUUAAAAAGUAUGUAAUUUUAAAUUAUUUAAUAUUUAGAUAAAAAAAAUAAGUCUAAUGAGUUUAAAAUAACAUAUAAAAAUAAUUUAUUUAUUUUAAAUUUAUUUUUUAUUUUCCAUUAUGUUCUCUUUCUCUUUUACUUUUUCAUAUUUUUUCUUACGAAGAAUCAAACACAACCUCAUAUUAUAUGUCAAGUGUUUGUCUAUAUUUGAGCAAUGUUAGAUACGGCCAUGGAUUCAUCAAACUAAACUGAUUUUAAUAGAUACUUCACAAAUUGAUUUAUACACUAAAUCAUUGGAUAGCAAUGAUGCAUUGGAAUUAAACGUAGGAUGAAGCUCGAAGAACACUGUUUGUGUAACAACAUAUUUAUGAAAUUAUGCAAAGGAUGAGCUUCGGGGUAGUAGUACAAGGUCAUUAAUGGAGAGCCGUGUUAAACCUUGAUUGUGAUUGGAUUCCGUUAUCAGCAACAGCAACCUUGUUUGUAACCUUGAAAGUCAUUCUGUCCACAUCGAAACUCCAAUUUGACGUUUGUAAUUACCAUUCCUGGAGUGUUCCUUGAUUGAAAUUUAAAUAAUAAUUGCGGCCCACAAGGAAUAUUUUCGAUUCUGUGGGAAUUUGACAAGGUUUGUUAGAGAAGACUGGUGACAUGUUGACUUCAAUGGUUCAAAUAGGAGACGUAUGUGGAUUUGGGGGGUUUAAUUGAAACUGAGUCCCUAUGGCUUUUUAAUAUUUGCAUUGAGCAGUCUCCAUGUGACUUCCUAAUUCCCACCAACCCUCCUGUCCAUGCUGUGAAACUAAAUUGUAAUUUAUCAGCCUUUGUCAAUGGUUUCUAAAUUAAAGAUAUAGACCAUGCAUGUACUUUAAUAAAAGCAAAUCUAAAGUGUAGAUAGCAGCAAUGGUGACACCCAAUAUUCUCCAUAAAAUAGAAUUAGAAUAAGCAGUGUUACAUUGUUCAUGAUCACCUACAAGCAUACAAGAACUUCCAUGAAUAACUCAUAGCAAUUGCCAACAGGGCGUCGUAGAGACUCAUACAUAGAACACUAUCCACCCAGAGGAAAGGACAAGACCAGUGCGCUGCAGCUCUUAUUUUUCACAUGUAUACCACCACUCGUAAUAACCAAAUUCACUCAGUUGGGAUAGGUGGGAGAUGGUGGUUUGUGGGGUGGCUUGUGGGGAGGAGUUGGAGGAGGCUUUAUUUUCUGAGGCGGCUUGUAUGAGUGUGCAGGAGGAUGCCCGGGAGUGUGACCAUAAUGUGGUGGCUUCUCUCCCGUAGGUGGUUUGCCAAAUGGGCUUGGUGGCUUCUCUCCCUUAGGAGGUUUACCAAUUGGGGUUGGUGGCUUGUGUUCUGGGAGUGGUUUCUCUCCCUUGGUAGGUUUGCCAAUUGGGGUUGGCGGCUUAUGUUCUGGGAGUGGCUUCUCUCCCUUGGGAGGUUUGCUAAUUGGGGUUGGCGGCUUAUGUUCUGGGGGCGGCUUCUCUCCCUUGGGAGGUUUGCCAAUUGGAGUUGGCGGCUUAUGUUCUGGGAGUGGCUUUUCUCCCUUGGGAGGCUUGCCAAUUGGGGUUGGCGGCUUAUGUUCUGGGGGUGGCUUCUCUCCUUUAGGAGGUUUGCCAAUUGGAGUCGGCGGCUUAUGUUCUGGAAGUGGCUUUUUUCCCUUGGGAGGUUUGCCAAUUGGGGUUGGCGGCUUAUGUUCUGGGGGUGGCUUCUCUCCCUUGGGAGGUUUGCCAAUUGGAGUCGGCGGCUUAUGUUCUGGGAGUGGCUUCUCUCCCUUGGGAGGUUUUGUUGGUGGCUUGUGUUCUGGAGAUGGCUUCUCCCCUGGAGGCUUGUGCUCCGGAG
rnacentral:lncRNA from 1 species